GACGAACGCUGGCGGCGUGCCUAAUACAUGCAAGUAGAACGCUGAAGGAGGAGCUUGCUCUUCUGGAUGAGUUGCGAACGGGUGAGUAACGCGUAGGUAACCUGCCUGGUAGCGGGGGAUAACUAUUGGAAACGAUAGCUAAUACCGCAUAAGAGUAGAUGUUGCAUGACAUUUGCUUAAAAGGUGCAAUUGCAUCACUACCAGAUGGACCUGCGUUGUAUUAGCUAGUUGGUGGGGUAACGGCUCACCAAGGCGACGAUACAUAGCCGACCUGAGAGGGUGAUCGGCCACCCUGGGACUGAGACACGGCCCAGAAUCCGACGGGAGGAAGCAGUAGGGAAUCUUCGGCAAUGGACGGAAGUCUGACCGAGCAACGCCGCGUGAGUGAAGAAGGUUUUCGGAUCGUAAAGCUCUGUUGUAAGAGAAGAACGAGUGUGAGAGUGGAAAGUUCACACUGUGACGGUAUCUUACCAGAAAGGGACGGCUAACUACGUG
rnacentral:rRNA from 1 species